rnacentral:rRNA from 1 species
GACUAGAGUGAUGUAGGGGAGACUGGAAUUCCUGGUGUAGCGGUGAAAUGCGCAGAUAUCAGGAGGAACACCGAUGGCGAAGGCAGGUCUCUGGGCAUUAACUGACGCUGAGGAGCGAAAGCAUGGGGAGCGAACAGGAUUAGAUACCCUGGUAGUCCAUGCCGUAAACGUUGGGCACUAGGUGUGGGGGACAUUCCACGUUUUCCGCGCCGUAGCUAACGCAUUAAGUGCCCCGCCUGGGGAGUACGGCCGCAAGGCUAAAACUCAAAGGAAUUGACGGGGGCCCGCACAAGCGGCGGAGCAUGCGGAUUAAUUCGAUGCAACGCGAAGAACCUUACCAAGGCUUGACAUGAACCGGAAACGCCUGGAGACAGGUGCCCCGCUUGCGGUCGGUUUACAGGUGGUGCAUGGUUGUCGUCAGCUCGUGUCGUGAGAUGUUGGGUUAAGUCCCGCAACGAGCGCAACCCUCGUUCUAUGUUGCCAGCACGUGAUGGUGGGGACUCAUAGGAGACUGCCGGGGUCAACUCGGAGGAAGGUGGGGACGACGUCAAAUCAUCAUGCCCCUUAUGUCUUGGGCUUCACGCAUGCUACAAUGGCCGGUACAAAGGGUUGCGAUACUGUGAGGUGGAGCUAAUCCCAAAAAGCCGGUCUCAGUUCGGAUUGGGGUCUGCAACUCGACCCCAUGAAGUCGGAGUCGCUAGUAAUCGCAGAUCAGCAACGCUGCGGUGAAUACGUUCCCGGGCCUUGUACACACCGCCCGUCAAGUCACGAAAGUUGGUAACACCCGAAGCCGGUGGCCUAACCCCUUGUGGGAGGGAGCUU